rnacentral:sRNA from 1 species
GCCAGGUGUGGUGGUGUACAUCUAUAAUCCCAGCUACUUUGGAGGCUGAGGCAGGAAGACUUCUAGUUCAGGGCCAGCCUCAG